rnacentral:rRNA from 1 species
GGUUAAGCGACUAAGCGUACACGGUGGAUGCCCUGGCAGUCAGAGGCGAUGAAGGGCGUGCUAAUCUGCGAUAAGCGCCGGUAAGGUGAUAUGAACCGUUAUAACCGGCGAUACCCGAAUGGGGAAACCCAGUGUGAUUCGUCACACUAUCAUUAACUGAAUCCAUAGGUUAAUGAGGCGAACCGGGGGAACUGAAACAUCUAAGUACCCCGAGGAAAAGAAAUCAACCGAGAUUCCCCCAGUAGCGGCGAGCGAACGGGGAGGAGCCCAGAGCCUGAAUCAGCAUGUGUGUUAGUGGAAGCGUCUGGAAAGGCGCGCGAUACAGGGUGACAGCCCCGUACACAAAAGCGCAUGUGCUGUGAGCUCGAUGAGUAGGGCGGGACACGUGGUAUCCUGUCUGAAUAUGGGGGGACCAUCCUCCAAGGCUAAAUACUCCUGACUGACCGAUAGUGAACCAGUACCGUGAGGGAAAGGCGAAAAGAACCCCGGCGAGGGGAGUGAAAAAGAACCUGAAACCGUGUACGUACAAGCAGUGGGAGCACAGGUUUACCUGUGUGACUGCGUACCUUUUGUAUAAUGGGUCAGCGACUUAUAUUCUGUAGCAAGGUUAACCGAAUAGGGGAGCCGGAGGGAAACCGAGUCUUAACCGGGCGUUAAGUUGCAGGGUAUAGACCCGAAACCCGGUGAUCUAGCCAUGGGCAGGUUGAAGGUUGGGUAACACUAACUGGAGGACCGAACCGACUAAUGUUGAAAAAUUAGCGGAUGACCUGUGGCUGGGGGUGAAAGGCCAAUCAAACCGGGAGAUAGCUGGUUCUCCCCGAAAGCUAUUUAGGUAGCGCCUCGUGAAUUCAUCUCCGGGGGUAGAGCACUGUUUCGGCUAGGGGGCCAUCCCGGCUUACCAACCCGAUGCAAACUGCGAAUACCGGAGAAUGUUAUCACGGGAGACACACGGCGGGUGCUAACGUCCGUCGUGAAGAGGGAAACAACCCAGACCGCCAGCUAAGGUCCCAAAGUCAUGGUUAAGUGGGAAACGAUGUGGGAAGGCCCAGACAGCCAGGAUGUUGGCUUAGAAGCAGCCAUCAUUUAAAGAAAGCGUAAUAGCUCACUGGUCGAGUCGGCCUGCGCGGAAGAUGUAACGGGGCUAAACCAUGCACCGAAGCUGCGGCAGCGAACGUAUCACUUAAAGCGAUUCAGCGGGUUACGAUUGACGGAGCGAAGCGACGUCAAAGCGUAUACAAAGUCGAGUCGGUUUAAGGAUACGUUCGUUGGGUAGGGGAGCGUUCUGUAAGCCUGCGAAGGUGGCCUGUGAGGGUUGCUGGAGGUAUCAGAAGUGCGAAUGCUGACAUAAGUAACGAUAAAGCGGGUGAAAAGCCCGCUCGCCGGAAGACCAAGGGUUCCUGUCCAACGUUAAUCGGGGCAGGGUGAGUCGACCCCUAAGGCGAGGCCGAAAGGCGUAGUCGAUGGGAAACGGGUUAAUAUUCCCGUACUUGGUGUUACUGCGAAGGGGGACGGAGAAGGCUAUGUUGGCCGGGCGACGGUUGUCCCGGUUUAAGCGUGUAGGUGUGUGUUCCAGGUAAAUCCGGUUCACUUUAACACUGAGGCGUGAUGACGAGGCACUACGGUGCUGAAGUAACAAAUGCCCUGCUUCCAGGAAAAGCCUCUAAGCAUCAGGUAACAUCAAAUCGUACCCCAAACCGACACAGGUGGUCAGGUAGAGAAUACCAAGGCGCUUGAGAGAACUCGGGUGAAGGAACUAGGCAAAAUGGUGCCGUAACUUCGGGAGAAGGCACGCUGACACGUAGGUGAAGUGAUUUACUCACGGAGCUGAAGUCAGUCGAAGAUACCAGCUGGCUGCAACUGUUUAUUAAAAACACAGCACUGUGCAAACACGAAAGUGGACGUAUACGGUGUGACGCCUGCCCGGUGCCGGAAGGUUAAUUGAUGGGGUCAGCGCAAGCGAAGCUCCUGAUCGAAGCCCCGGUAAACGGCGGCCGUAACUAUAACGGUCCUAAGGUAGCGAAAUUCCUUGUCGGGUAAGUUCCGACCUGCACGAAUGGCGUAAUGAUGGCCAGGCUGUCUCCACCCGAGACUCAGUGAAAUUGAACUCGCUGUGAAGAUGCAGUGUACCCGCGGCAAGACGGAAAGACCCCGUGAACCUUUACUAUAGCUUGACACUGAACAUUGAGCCUUGAUGUGUAGGAUAGGUGGGAGGCUUUGAAGUGUGGACGCCAGUCUGCAUGGAGCCGACCUUGAAAUACCACCCUUUAAUGUUUGAUGUUCUAACGUGGACCCGUUACCCGGGUUGCGGACAGUGUCUGGUGGGUAGUUUGACUGGGGCGGUCUCCUCCUAAAGAGUAACGGAGGAGCACGAAGGUUGGCUAAUCCUGGUCGGACAUCAGGAGGUUAGUGCAAUGGCAUAAGCCAGCUUGACUGCGAGCGUGACGGCGCGAGCAGGUGCGAAAGCAGGUCAUAGUGAUCCGGUGGUUCUGAAUGGAAGGGCCAUCGCUCAACGGAUAAAAGGUACUCCGGGGAUAACAGGCUGAUACCGCCCAAGAGUUCAUAUCGACGGCGGUGUUUGGCACCUCGAUGUCGGCUCAUCACAUCCUGGGGCUGAAGCAGGUCCCAAGGGUAUGGCUGUUCGCCAUUUAAAGUGGUACGCGAGCUGGGUUUAGAACGUCGUGAGACAGUUCGGUCCCUAUCUGCCGUGGGCGCUGGAGAACUGAGGGGGCUGCUCCUAGUACGAGAGGACCGGAGUGGACGCAUCACUGGUGUUCGGGUUGUCAUGCCAAUGGCACUGCCCGGUAGCUAAAUGCGGAAGAGAUAAGUGCUGAAAGCAUCUAAGCACGAAACUUGCCCCGAGAUGAGUUCUCCCUGAGACUUAGAGUCUCCUGAAGGAACGUUGAAGACGACGACGUUGAUAGGCCGGGUGUGUAAGCGCAGCGAUGCGUUGAGCUAACCGGUACUAAUGAACCGUGAGGCUUAACCUU